GGCCGGGUAGCUCAGUGGUAGAGCGAGGGACUGAAAAUCCCUGCGUCGGCGGUUCAAUCCCGUCCCCGGCCA
rnacentral:tRNA from 2 species